rnacentral:rRNA from 1 species
AGAGUUUGAUCAUGGCUCAGAUUGAACGCUGGCGGCAUGCCUUACACAUGCAAGUCGAACGGUAACAGGCCGCAAGGUGCUGACGAGUGGCGAACGGGUGAGUAAUGCAUCGGAACGUGCCCAGUAGUGGGGGAUAGCCCGGCGAAAGCCGGAUUAAUACCGCAUACGACCUGAGGGUGAAAGGGGGGGAUCGCAAGACCUCUCGCUAUUGGAGCGGCCGAUGUCAGAUUAGCUAGUUGGUGGGGUAAAGGCCUACCAAGGCAACGAUCUGUAGUUGGUCUGAGAGGACGACCAGCCACACUGGGACUGAGACACGGCCCAGACUCCUACGGGAGGCAGCAGUGGGGAAUUUUGGACAAUGGGCGCAAGCCUGAUCCAGCAAUGCCGCGUGCAGGAAGAAGGCCUUCGGGUUGUAAACUGCUUUUGUCAGGGAAGAAAUCUUCUGGGUUAAUACCUCGGGAGGAUGACGGUACCUGAAGAAUAAGCACCGGCUAACUACGUGCCAGCAGCCGCGGUAAUACGUAGGGUGCGAGCGUUAAUCGGAAUUACUGGGCGUAAAGCGUGCGCAGGCGGCUUUGCAAGACAGAGGUGAAAUCCCCGGGCUCAGCCUGGGAACUGCCUUUGUGACUGCAAGGCUAGAGUACGGCAGAGGGGGAUGGAAUUCCGCGUGUAGCAGUGAAAUGCGUAGAUAUGCGGAGGAACACCAAUGGCGAAGGCAAUCCCCUGGGCCUGUACUGACGCUCAUGCACGAAAGCGUGGGGAGCAAACAGGAUUAGAUACCCCGGUAGUCCAA